GACAUUACUUACGUUCAUUCCUAUACUAAAAUUGAAACAAUACAGCGAAGAUUAGCAUGGCCCCUGCGCAAGGAUGACACGAUGACAUGA
rfam:Nippostrongylus brasiliensis genome assembly, scaffold: NBR_scaffold0003519